UGAGGAACAUGACCUUCGGCGGGGGAUAGCCGGCCCAACGGCCGGGUAAUACCGCGUACGACCACAUGGGGACAUCCCUGAGUGGUGAAAGCAGCAAUGCGCCGAUGGAGUGCCUCGCGGCCUAUCAGCUAGUUGGUGAGGUAACGGCUCACCAAGGCGACGACGGAUAGCGUGGUCUGGAGGAGGUAGUCGGACCACGCCACUAGUUCGGGACUGAACGACCGACCCGGCCCAACGUAUACCCGGUAACGGGG
rnacentral:rRNA from 1 species